GAUGAACGCUGGCGGCGUGCCUAAUACAUGCCAGUCGAGCGAACGGACGAGAAGCUUGCUUCUCUGAUGUUAGCGGCGGACGGGUGAGUAACACGUGGAUAACCUACCUAUAAGACUGGGAUAACUUCGGGAAACCGGAGCUAAUACCGGAUAAUAUUUUGAACCGCAUGGUUCAAAAGUGAAAGACGGUCUUGCUGUCACUUAUAGAUGGAUCCGUGCUGGAUUAGCUAGUUGGUAAGGUAACGGCUUACCAAGGCAACGAUGCAUAGCCGACCUGAGAGGAUGAUCGGCCACACUGGAACUGAGACACGGUCCAGACUCCUACGGGAGGCAGCAGUAGGGAAUCUUGCGCAAUGGGCGAAAGCCUGACGGAGCAACGCCGCGUGAGUGAUGAAGGUCUUCGGAUCGUAAAACUCUGUUAUUAGGGAAGAACAUAUGUGUAAGUAACUGUGCACAUCUUGACGGUACCUAAACAGAAAGCCACGGCUAACUACGUG
rnacentral:rRNA from 1 species